GGAUGCGAUCAUACCAGCACUAAAGCACCGAUCCUAUCAGAACUCCGAAGUUAAGCGUGCUUGGGCGAGAGUAGUACUAGGAUGGGUGACCUCCUGGGAAGUCCUCGUGUUGCAUUCCC
rnacentral:rRNA from 1 species